GGCACAGGAGGCACCGCCCGCUUCCCAUGCACGGGGCGCUUCUCCGGUGAGCGCGGAUUCCCGCUGCCCGCCCUGUGCCCCGUCCCCGGCGGCACCGGACCCUGCGUGGCCCCUAAGAUGGCGAGCGGGAUGAAUGGCUCGGGCGGCGGCGGCGGCGGCGGCGGCAGCGAGGAGGAGCCGGGCGCCCGGCACACGGGAGGCGGAGCCGCGCCCCAGCAGGAGCCCGGCGUGCUCGGCGCGGCGGCGGGCGAGGGGGAGCCGGCGGCGGGCGAGGGCGGGCGCUGCCCGUCCCCUCAGCCGCACCACCUGCUGCUGCUGCUGCGGCGCUCGCCCAGCGCCUCGCUGUGCACGGCGCCCGAGGCCGCCCCCGCGCCGGGCCGGGCCGUUCCCUCGGCGGGCCGCGGCGGGCAGCCCCCCCCGGCGGGCCGCGGCGCCGGCGAGGACGUGAGGAAAUGCGGGUACCUGCGGAAGCAGAAGCACGGGCACAAGCGUUACUUCGUCCUCCGGGCCGAGAGCCACCUGGCCCCCGCCCGGCUGGAGUACUAUGACAGCGAGAAGAAGUUCAAGAGCAGCCUGCGGGCGGCGGGGGCUGGCGGGGCGGCCGCGCUGUGCUGCCCGCCGCCCAAGAGGGUCAUCCCCUUGUACCAGUGCUUCACCGUGAGCCGCCGGGCCGACGCUAAGCACAAGCACAUCAUCGCCCUGUACACCAAGGACGAGUACUUCGCCAUGCUGGCCGAGAACGAUGCCGAGCAGGAGGCCUGGUACCAGGCCAUCAGCGAGCUCAUGAAUCAGAGCAAGAGGGGCUUCCUGGAGCAGGAGGACCAUGCCGAUCAGCAGGUGGACGAAGAUGAUGAGCACUAUGGGGCCGCCCUGAGGCCUGGCACCGUGUUCAAGGAGGUGUGGCAGGUCAACGUGAAGCCCAAAGGCUUGGGACAAACGAAAAACCUCACUGGAGUGUACAGGUUGUGCCUCUCCAGCAAGGCCAUCCACCUUGUCAAGCUGAACUCGGAGGUGCCCUCUGUUCACUUGCAGCUUAUGAACAUUCGCCGCUGUGGACACUCAGAGAACUUCUUCUUCAUUGAAGUGGGCAGAUCUGCCUCUAUUGGUCCUGGAGAGCUCUGGAUGCAAGUGGAUGAUUCGGUUGUUGCCCAGAAUAUGCACGAGACUUUUCUGGAUACCAUGAAAGCUCUAAAGGCCUUUGCAGAGUUCAGGCCCCGAAGCAAGAGCCAGUCUUCUGGUGGUGGCAGCGGUACCAAUCCCAUAUCCUUCAUCACCACCAGAAGGCACUUGGGCAACCUACCCCCCAGCCAGACAGGCUUGCAGAGAAGAUCUAGAACUGAGAGCGUUGCUGGAGGCACUCCUCCUACCACCAAAAGCAACAACUCCUAUCGCUUCAGAACAUCCAGUGAAGGAGAAGGAACCAUGACUAGACCUUUUAGGUCAGUGACUGGGAGUCUGAUCCACCUGAAUACUGCAAGGAUGAAUUUGGGCCGGCAAGAAGGGAGUGGAAGGUACGUGAGAGCUGCUUUCAGCUCAUCUUAUCACACGAGGUCUGCUUCGCUGCCUGUUUCUCAUUUUCCCUCCACCACAAGUCCCAUCAGUGUUUCUUCCAGCAGUGGCCAUGGUUCUGCUUCGGACAUGCUGACCAGGCCUUCUAGCUCAUCUGUUUGUGGUUCCCCAAGUGAUGGGGGAUUCAUCUCUUCUGAUGAGUAUGGCUCCAGCCCUGGAGAUUUCAGGUACUUUAGGGUGAGGAGUAAUACACCAGAUUCCCUGGGAAACACACCACCUAUCAGAGAGGAGAACUGUCUGAGUGAGUACAUGUCCAUGAAUAAGCAACAGGGAGAUGAUGGCUCAAGAGAUGAUUAUAUGGAAGCUGAAAAAUGCUUCAGGAAAAGAGCUUACUCUCUAACAAAGCCAACUUCUGUGGCAGUGCAGCAGAAGACAACACAAACUACAGCUUUGUUGGAUGAAGAUUCUGCAGGAAAUCAUGGACGAUUACUUUACUCUGAAACACCAAAAUUGAAAGAUAACCAUGAAUUGGAGUACAGUGACACUAACCUUGAUUCCAUGUGUAACCAAAGCAGGAGUAAAGCCAGGGAUGAUGGGUACAUGCCAAUGAUGCCAGGAGUUGCAUCUUCUCUAUCCAGCACCAGCGAUUAUUUGCCAAUGACUCCUAAAAGCAUGUCUGUUCCAAAACAGAUUAACAAUUCAUGGUCACCAUCUCAAGUUGACUCCCGAGGCUAUAUGAUGAUGUUUCCAAAGGGCAGCUCUUCACCUGUACGGAGUCCUUUAACUGGAUUUGCUUCUAAAGGAAGUAAUGAGAAGAUCGUAAACAACGAGUAUAUGGAUAUGUCACCUGGCAAUUCAGUUCCAAAACACCCCAGUGAUUCAAAUUAUAUUCAUACCACUUCUCUUUCCAAAGGUUUUAGUUCAUAUUUUUCUUUGCCCCGAAGCUUUAAGGCGUUAUCAGGACAAAAUGGUGACCACAGUGAAUAUGUUCCAAUGUCUUCACCUGGAAAACUCUUUUAUGGUGCACCAGAAAAUGUAAAGGGAGUCAGCAGUGAGACUCUGGCUAAUGGCAUCUCUAAAUUGCCGACGUUGAAAGGUUCGGAUGAAGGACUUGUGCAGAACAGGGCUACCAGGCCCACACGACUGCCCCUAGGUACAAGAGGGAGUAAUACCAUCCCCAGAAUGUAUGAUCGUACAGUUCCACCUGAGCCAGCGAGUCCUGGUGAAUACAUAAAUAUUGAUUUUAAUGAAAAGGCGAGUAACACACCAUAUUCCUUAUCUGCAGAAGGAUCUCCAUCAUCUCUAGGCUCAAGUAGUGACCACAGACAGUCACCACUCUCUGAUUACAUGAGUGUUGACUUGGAUGUGCAGUCACCAAAAGCAGCGAAGGAACUGUCGAACUCUCUAACAGAUAUUUCAAUUUAUACAAGUUCCAGUAUUCCUAGAAACCAACGAAACCCUGACUAUGCCAGGCUUUCAUUUGGUGCUGCAUGUGUUAGCACGGCAAGUAACAGGACUGAUGACUAUACUGAGAUGACAUUCAACAUGGCAGCAACACCACCAAGGCCAUUUGCCACUGAAUCUGACAGUGCUGUAAAGAUGGAUAGUCCUUCUUCCAUCGUUAAUAGACUCUGCAUUGUUGAUCGAUAUGCAGGUAGCAGUAACUUCUCUGUCCCUAGCUCUGACCCUCCUAUAGGACCGAAAGUGAUUCGAGCUGACCCUCAAGGCAGGAGGAGACACAGUUCUGAAACGUUCUCUUCUGCUGGGACUGUGACGACCUCAUCCUCUUUCUUUACUGACAGUAGCAAAAGACACAGCUCUGCCUCAUUCGACAACGUUUGGUUAAAACCCGAUGAAAACAUUUCUGAUGGUCAGGAAAACAAAAUGUCCAGGGAUACCUCAACUGGAUUUCAGAAUGGCUUAAACUACAUUGCUCUGAAUUUACGUGAUGACCCUCUAAGCUGUGAGGCGAGUACUACAGCGCCAGCUUGCCAUCUCCAAAAUGGUACUUCAGGUUUGGACAGUGGAGCUUAUGUAAGCAUAGAUUUCAGCAGAUCAGAUGGGCUGAAGUGUAACGCGAGAAAAGGUUUGGUGGCUGCUUUUGAGCUUUGGUCUCUACAGCAUCUUUAUGUCCUCUGGAGAAGCCUGAGGACUUGGCUGACCAGUGUGGAGGGGGGCUCAGGCAGCUUCACAUUCACCACCUAGGGCUCAGCUGAGCUGCAGCCUUUCCCUGGGAUCUGCCUUUUGUGUAGCAGACUGAUUGCAUUGCCAUGGAAACCAUUGUUGGAAGAGAA